GAAAAUCUUUUUCCACUGAUUGCCUCCGUCUCACUUGAUUUCCAUCAAAAUUGUUUUUGGUGACAUAAUUGCCCCAAAGAGACCAAAGACUUCAUGGGGGAAGAAAUGAUGACCAGUGGCUCCUAACAAUGAAUGGGUUUGAGAGGCUGAAGGGAACGUUAGGAUUAUGAUGAGGAGACCUUUAAAGAGGAUCUUCUUAAUCAAGAUAUUCCUGCCCCAAUGGGUAGUGGAGAGAAACAACUUCUGGGAAAGGCCGAGACUCCAGGCCACGUGGAGCCCAGGCGUGCGGGCUGCUGAAGGAUCAGGACUCAUAUUCCCUCUGGUGAUGCUCAAGAAGCCACUUCUAGCUCCUUCUGCCUCACCGUUGACAGGGUUUUCACCCAGCAGCUCUUGAGAAUGAUGGCUCUAUCAUAGGAAAUUAAAGUUGAAUUUUAGUGUAGAAUCUGUAACAA